UUCUGCCUGUUUCCAGCAGUCGUGUUUGGCUGCAGAGAGGAAGGGGAGGGAAAGGCAGCAGCUCCAUGUUAACGGGUUCCCUAAAUGAAAAGCCUGGCAGAGGUUAUUUACCAAAUGGAGGUACUGCUGCAGAAAGGGCAAACAGAUGAAGGAAUUCAGAGCUCCAGUGUGCCAGGUACAUUCAAGUAUUCUGGCUGCAGUAUUUCCUCAGCCACCCAUCUCUAGAGAACGUAUCAUGGAAAUAACAGUAUAUUUUUAUCUCACAUUUUACUAGGCAGGAUGUGUGAGCCACUGUUGGAGACAGAAUACUGCCUAGACAGACAUUUGGUCUGAGAAAAUGCAGCCUUAAAUUCUUCUGUGUAGAAGAGGAAGGGCUAUAACACCUGGAUGCAGCAAAAUUCUUCUCUCAUUUGUGAUGCCCCGGCCUAUAACCAAAAUAUAUCAGCUGCAUAGACAGUGAGUGUUGCAGUGUUCUCAGUGCAUCUGUAUUAGUGCGUCCCAUUACAAGUCUCCCAAUAGAUUUAAGGUGACCUGUAAAUAUUUCUACCAAUUGAGGCCAUAAGUCUUGCAGUGAAAUAUUUCAUAGAAUUGUAGAAUAAUAGAAUGGUUUGGGUUGGAAAGGACCUGAACAUUGUCCACUUCCAACCCCCUGCCAUGGGCAGGGAUGCCUCACACUAGACCAUGUCACCCAAGGCUCUGUCCAAUCUGGCCUUGAACACUGCCAGGGAUGGAGCAUUCACAGCUUUCUUUGGGCAACCUGUUCCAGCACCUCAGUGCCCUCACAGUAAAGAACUUCUUCCUUAUAUCUAACCUGAGCUUCCCAUUUCAGUAUUUCUGCAGCAUGGAAGAUGAUACUCCAACUUCUCAUUAAAAUCUACUCAGUGUUGGAAGCUGGUUUGGGAUUUUACUGAUCUGAACAAAUCUCGUAAAACCAGAGACCUUUCCAAAGACUUGAGGGCUUAUUGACACUUAAUGGAGUUAAAUUCUGGACUGUAGAAACUGAUCCUUAGGAAGAAAAAUCGCUUCACUCAGAAGUUCAUCAGGGAGAACAUCUGAAGUUAAAAAUAUCACUGCACCACCAGAUGACAUUGUUCCCUGGAAAGUAGGUCUUGUCAAAGAAACCUGUUAUCUUUUCAAGGAGAUUUAAUGUCUGCUUCAUAUAGAAAGUAAUGCUGUUAUAACCUAGUUUGGUUUCCCUAGAUUGCAACCAUGUGGAUUGAAGCUGCUGUGUAUAAAGAAGCAGAAAGACACAUAUUACAUCAAUUAAAACCUCUUUCAGUACAUUAAAUGCUAUUUUCAGCAGGAAUGGAAGGAUUUUCAGUGAAUUGUACCUAUGUUCAUUGUUAUCACUCUAAAAAUAGAUUUUGAGCAAUCAUUAUUCAAUGCUUGUUUUUCAUUGAUUGUAAAUGCUACUUUUGUUGCUUUGUUUGGUUAGUGAAAGCUGGCAUAAAACAUAAAAGUGAUUAUGUCACAAAUAAUAAAGAAGACAGGUUGCAAUUACAAAGAUACCGAAUACCACUCUGAAUGGUCAAAGGGCACUGAAGACAGCCAAGUAAAAGAGACUUUUACAUCUGGAAACAGGGAAACUGAAGGGAUUAGGAAGCUGAACAGGUCCCAGAAAUCAUUGGAAGAGAUGUAUGACAAGUUCUUAAAGAUAUCCUCUAAUAAAGGCACUAAACCAGUCCUGGAAAAUGUAUUCAUUUGAUUUAUUAUUCAUCGAAAUCAUGAUGUACGAUGAAGGCUGCUACUAAAAUAUAUUCCACCUUCACUUGAAGUGUUAAAAUAGUGCAAGCUCAAGUUUUUCACAGAAAGGGAUACAUUGUAUGAACUUUAGUGUGCACAAUCACGUCAGUUCGUUGAAGUGGAUUAGAAGUAGAUUUCCUGUGUAGUUCUUUAUGAUUUAACAGGUUGCCCAAAGAAGUGGUGAAUGCCC